rnacentral:rRNA from 1 species
UACGUAGGGUGCAAGCGUUGUCCGGAAUUAUUGGGCGUAAAGAGCGUGUAGGCGGCCCGGUUAGUCCGCUGUGAAAGUCCAGGGCUCAACCCUGGAAUGCCGGUGGAUACUGUCGGGCUAGAGUCCGGAAGGGGCGAGUGGAAUUCAUGGUGUAGCAGUGAAAUGCGUAGAGAUCAUGAGGAAGACCAGUGGCGAAGGCGGGUCUCUGGACAGUUCCUGACACUGAGGCACGAAGGCCAGGGGAGCAAACGGG